AGGACGAACGCUGGCGGCGUGCUUAACACAUGCAAGUCGAGCGGAAAGGCCCUUCGGGGUACUCGAGCGGCGAACGGGUGAGUAACACGUGAGCAACCUGCCCUUAGCUCCGGGAUAGCUCCGGGAAACCGGAAUUAAUACCGGAUAUGACCUAGGCCGACAUCGGCUGUGGUGGAAAGUUUUUCGGCUGGGGAUGGACUCGCGGCCUAUCAGCUUGUUGGUGGGGUAAUGGCCUACCAAGGCGACGACGGGUAGCCGGCCUGAGAGGGCGACCGGCCACGACUGGGACUGAGACACGGCCCAGACUCCUACGGGAGGCAGCAGUGGGAAUCUUGCGCAAUGGGCGAAAGCCUGACGCAGCGACGCCGCGUGUGGGAUGACGGCCUUCGGGUUGUAACCACUGUCGCGAGGGACGAAAAAAUGACGGUACCUCGAAAGGAAGCACCGGCUAACUCUGUGCCAGCAGCCGC
rnacentral:rRNA from 1 species